rnacentral:pre_miRNA from 1 species
AGUGAGAUAGCUGGAUCAAAUGGUGGUUCCAUUCCCAAUUUUCUGAGGAAUCUCCAUACUGCUUUCCAUAGUGGUUGCACUAAUUUUCAGUCCCAAUAGCAAU